ACAUGCAAGUCGAACGAAGUAGCAAUACUUAGUGGCAGACGGGUGAGUAACAUGUAGGUAUCUACCCUUUGGCCAGGAAUAACACGAGGAAACUUGUGCUAAUACCUGAUAAGUCUUUACGGAGAAAGCUUUAUGCACCAUUGGAUGAGCCUGCACUUGAUUAGUUAGUUGGUAGGGUAAAGGCCUACCAAGACUUUGAUCAAUAGCUGAUUUGAGAGGAUGAUCAGCCACAUUGGGACUGAGACACGGCCCAAACUCCUACGGGAGGCAGCAGUGGGGAAUCUUGCACAAUGGAGGAAACUCUGAUGCAGCGAUGCCGCGUGAGUGAAGAAGGCCUUUGGGUUGUAAAGCUCUUUCGUCGGGGAAGAAAAUGACUGUACCCGAAUAAGAAGGUCCGGCUAACUUCGUGCCAGCAGCCGCGGUAAUACGAAGGGACCUAGCGUAGUUCGGAAUUACUGGGCUUAAAGAGUUCGUAGGUGGUUGAAAAAGUUGGUGGUGAAAUCCCAGAGCUUAACUCUGGAACUGCCAUCAAAACUUUUCAGCUAGAGUUUGAUAGAGGAAAGUAGAAUUUCUAGUGUAGAGGUGAAAUUCGUAGAUAUUAGAAAGAAUACCAAUUGCGAAGGCAGCUUUCUGGAUCAUUACUGACACUGAGGAACGAAAGCAUGGGUAGCGAAGAGGAUUAGAUACCCUCGUAGUCCAUGCCGUAAACGAUGUGUGUUAGACGUUGGAAAUUUAUUUUCAGUGUCGCAGCGAAAGCGAUAAACACACCGCCUGGGGAGUACGACCGC
rnacentral:rRNA from 1 species